rnacentral:rRNA from 1 species
UACAGGGGGGGCAAGCGUUGUUCGGAAUUACUGGGCGUAAAGGGCUCGUAGGCGGCCAACUAAGUCCGACGUGAAAUCCCAAAGCUUAACUUUGGAACUGCGUCGGAUACUGGAUGGCUUGAAUUCGGGAGAGGGAUGCAGAAUUCCAGGUGUAGCGGUGAAAUGCGUAGAUAUCUGGAGGAAUACCUGUGGCGAAGGCGGCAUCCUGGACCGACAUUGACGCUGAGGAGCGAAAGCUAGGGGAGCAAACGGG